rnacentral:rRNA from 1 species
GAUCAUGGCUCAGGAUGAACGCUGGCGGCGUGCUUAACACAUGCAAGUCGAGCGAAGCGCUUUGGAAAGAUUCUUCGGAUGAUUUCCUUUGUGACUGAGCGGGCGCGACGGGUAGGAGUAACGCGUAUCCAACCUGCCUACCACUUGGGGAUAACCUUGCGAAAGUAAGACUAAUACCCAAUGACAUCCCACGAAGACAUCUGAAUGGGAUUAAAGAUUUAUCGGUGAUGGAUGGGGA